GAGGCCCUUUUCUAAAAGUUGUUAGUGACCGUUUCACUGAACACGUGCUCAGUCCGCCGAGGCCAACGUGAACUCCCGGUUGCCAACCAUUUCAACUCCCCUUCCCAUUCCCACACUGACCUUUCGAGGGGUCUCGAC